rnacentral:rRNA from 1 species
UUGGAGGGCAAGUCUGGUGCCAGCAGCCGCGGUAAUUCCAGCUCCAAUAGCGUAUAUUAAAGUUGUUGCAGUUAAAAAGCUCGUAGUUGAAUUUCGGGAUCAGCAAGUUGGUCGUGCCUCUGGUACGUACUGGCUUUACUGGUUCCUCCUUCUUGAAGAACUGUAAUGUCAUUAAUUUGGUGUUGCAGGGAAACAGGACUGUUACUUUGAAAAAAUUAGAGUGUUUAAAGCAAGCUAACGCUUGAAUACAUUAGCAUGGAAUAAUGAAAUAGGACGUUUGAUCCUAUUUUGUUGGUUUCUAGGAUUGACGUAAUGAUUAAUAGGGAUAGUUGGGGGCAUUAGUAUUCAAUUGUCAGAGGUGAAAUUCUUGGAUUUAUUGAAGACUAACUACUGCGAAAGCAUUUGCCAAGGAUGUUUUCAUUAAUCAAGAACGAAAGUUAGGGGAUCGAAGACGAUCAGAUACCGUCGUAGUCUUAACCAUAAACUAUGCCGACUAGGGAUCGGAUGAUGUUAAUUUUUUAAUGACUCAUUCGGCGCCUUACGGGAAAC